rnacentral:rRNA from 1 species
GAUGAACGCUGGCGGCAUGCCUAACACAUGCAAGUCGAUCGGUGAGGCUCUUCGGAGUACACGAGAGGCGGACGGCUGAGUAACGCGUAGGAACACACCCUGCAGUGAGGGAUAAGACACCGAAAGGUGUUCUAAUACCGCAUACGGUCUUCGGAUUAAAGCAUUUAUGCGCUGAAGGAGUGGCCUGCGUCAUAUUAGAUAGUUGGUGAGGUAAUGGCUCACCAAGUCGAUGAUGUGUAGCUGGUCUGAGAGGAUGAUCAGCCAGACUGGAACUGAGGCACGGUCCAGACUCCUACGGGAGGCAGCAGUGAGGAAUAUUUCACAAUGAGCGAAAGCUUGAUGGAGCAAUGCCGCGUGCAGGAUGAAGGCCCUCGGGUUGUAAACUGCUUUUAUAAGAGAAGAUUAUGACGGUAACUGAUGAAUAAGGGACGGCUAACUACGUG